CCAUGUGAGUCGUUGCAGCAAUGCAAGGCAGACGGCUCAGUAACACGUAGUCAACCUAACCUAUGGCCGGGAUAACCUCGGGAAACUGAGAAUAAUACCCGAUAGAUCAUGAUACCUGGAACGGUUUAUGGUCCAAAUGAUUUAUCGCCAUAGGAUGGGACUGCGGUCUAUCAGCUUGUUGGUGAGGUAAUGGCCCACCAAGGCUAUAACAGAUACGGGCUCUGAGAGGAGGGGGCCCGGAGAUGGGUACUGAGACACGGACCCAGGUUCCUAUGGGGCGCAGCAGGGCGAGAGAACCUUUGCAAUGUGCGAAAAGCACGAACGAGGUUAAUCCGAGUGAUUCCUGCUUAAAGGAAUCUUUUGUUAGUCAUAAAACCACUGAUGAAUAAGGGGUGGGCAAGUUCUGGUGUCAGCCGCCGCGGUAAUACCAGCACCUCGAGUGGUCAGGAGGUUUAUUGGGACCUAAAAGCAUCCGUAGCCCGGCUGUUCAAGUUUCCGGUUAAAUCCACACGCUUAACGUAUGGGCUGCCGGAAAUACUGUUCAGCUAGGGAGUGGGAGAGGUAGACGGUACUCGAUUAGGUAGGGGUAAAAUCCUUUGAUCUAUCUUUGUUCAUGACCACCUGUGGCGAAGGCGGUCUACCAGAACACGUUCGUACGGUGAGGGAUGAAAGCUGGGGGAGCAAACCGGAUUAGAUACCCGGGUAGUCCCAGCUGUAAACGAUGCAGGCUCGGUGAUGCACUUUUGGCUUGUGGCCAGUGCAGUGCCGCAGGGGGGCCGUUAAGUUAUGCCGCCUGGGAAGUACGUACGCAAGUAUGAAACUU
rnacentral:rRNA from 1 species